rnacentral:piRNA from 1 species
UCCAAAGAAUGUGGUGAGGAUCUGU